UUUAACGAUGUGAAACAAAUACAGUUGGCCCUCCGCAUCCAUGGAUUCCACAUCCAGGGAUUCAACCAACAUUGGAUAAAAAAUAUUCGAAAAAAGCAGUGGAAUCUGUACUAAACGUGUACCAUGUGCCAUUGAGAUUUCUCAGUACACAGUGAGAUUCUACAUGAACCAGCCAUCUUCAUCUCUCCUGGUCACCUUCUUCUUUGACUGCAUGACCACCUGAGUUCUUCUGAACAAUAGUUCGUGGGAAAAUGCACACAUGUGCUCUGAAGGACUUCAACCAGGAAGAAACCAACUUCAUGGUCACUUUCCAGCAACCAAAUACCUUCCUGAGAGUUGACUCCCACAUUCUCAGCAAGAUGUUCUGAGCUCCUAUUUCUUUUAGGAAACACCUGUUCAUCUAGCCCCUGUCUGACCACCUUGGCUUCCAUCAUCAUCAUCAUCAUCACCAUCGCCACCACUAUGAUUUUUAUUCCACCCAAACCUUUCAGUUAGCC